AAAUUGUCUAGAUUUUUAUUAUAAAAUAUGCUUUAAUUCUAAGCUUGAAACCUCCUCUUCUCGAUCGCAGACUGCCAUUUCCCCCUCCCUUUUUCCGAUCAGAUUUCCGGCCACCAAACCGACGAAACUAGGUGGCGAUCGACUUCCUGGACACUGGCGAUCUCAGUUCCGGCCUCCCUUUCGCCGAUUGGGGCCUCCCUUUCGCCGAUUGGAGCUUGACUAGGACGAAUAGAUGCUCUCUCUCCUGUGGUGACGCUAGCCUCUUCCGACCCGCUUUUCCGACUUCCGGCGAGUCCCAAUCCGCAAGACUGCUAUUGGUAUGUUCCUCUUUUGCCGCUGACUAUUUCCUUCUCACCGAACAGACCUCCAAUAGCGCAAAUCGAAGCUGUGAGGAUUAGAUAGCUUCCCUUCUUCGAUUUUUCGGCGAGCCAACCUCUUUCCGGUAGUUUCUUUCACUAAGGUAAAUCGAAAGCUAGUCAUUUCUGCUUCUACUCAGUAUUCUUUAGAUUAGUUUAGCUUUAGGCUUAGAAAUUGAAGGACUUUGAAAUGUUAGGUUUUGAAGUUGUGAAAUUUGAGGAUUUGUUACAAUAUGGUAUUUUCUUUAGAGUUUGAUCGCAAAAUUGAACUCCUUAUAAAUCUUGCUUUGGUUUGAUGUAUGAUGGCGAGAUUUUGGGCCUGCCACCCUCCGGCCACUGUGGACGUUGACGGUGGCCGGCGUCACUCUGCUAUGCAAUUAGAAUUGCAACCUGACCUCGGUUAAUAGUUAAAUCGUUCGUUAGUUUAUUUUGUGUGUAGACUUUUAAAAUCGAAAAUGUCCAGAACUCAGUUAUCCUUGUAUUGCAUAACUGACCUGUUACAAGGCAGCUAAUAAUCAGAAACUACAUAGAAUUGUUUAGCUACUUAA